AUCCAGCUGACGGGUCCCAAACAGAACGAAACGCGCGUCCUGUAU
rnacentral:hammerhead_ribozyme from 1 species